rnacentral:rRNA from 1 species
UACGGAGGGGGCUAGCGUUUUUCGGAAUUACUGGGCGUAAAGCGCACGUAGGCGGAUUGUUAAGUCGGGGGUGAAAUCCUGGGGCUCAACCUCAGAAUUGCCUUCGAUACUGGCAGUCUUGAGUACGGGAGAGGUGAGUGGAAUUCCCAGUGUAGAGGUGAAAUUCGUAGAUAUUGGGAAGAACACCAGUGGCGAAGGCGGCUCACUGGCCCGUAACUGACGCUGAGGUGCGAAAGCGUGGGGAGCAAACAGG